AUGUGUUGUAAUGGCGGCUGUUUCAUUGUCAUCCGCGUCGGCAUGGCUGAAUCCGAGACGCAUCGCCGCCAUCCCGUCUUGGCCGGCGCCGGGGGCUUGCUCUAGGGGCACGGGCGACCCAGCGGGGAUUUCAGUCUGGCCUAUUUUCUGUAAAGUCGAGAGGCUUGUGGAGAAGAGCGCUUGGAGGACUGGCUUUGGGCCUGCAGUCUCACAGAAAGUUCUCCGCUCCCAGACAUGGGUCCCUCGGCUUCCUGCCUCGGAAGCGCAGCAGCAGGCAUCGUGGGAAGGUGAAGAGCUUCCCUAAGGAUGACCCGUCCAAGCCGGUCCACCUCACAGCCUUCCUGGGAUACAAGGCUGGCAUGACUCACAUCGUGCGAGAAGUCGACAGGCCAGGAUCCAAGGUGAACAAGAAGGAGGUGGUGGAGGCUGUGACCAUUGUAGAGACACCACCCAUGGUGGUUGUGGGCAUUGUGGGCUACGUGGAAACCCCUCGAGGCCUCCGGACCUUCAAGACUGUCUUCGCUGAGCACAUCAGUGAUGAAUGCAAGAGGCGUUUCUAUAAGAAUUGGUAAGGGAGGAGGCCAUGCAGUCCCUAGCUUGGGAGCUGGAGAGCAGGGAGCAGCAC
rnacentral:sRNA from 1 species